rnacentral:rRNA from 1 species
UACGAAGGGGGCUAGCGUUGCUCGGAAUCACUGGGCGUAAAGGGUGCGUAGGCGGGUUUUUAAGUCAGGGGUGAAAUCCUGGAGCUCAACUCCAGAACUGCCUUUGAUACUGAAGAUCUUGAGUCCGGGAGAGGUGAGUGGAACUGCGAGUGUAGAGGUGAAAUUCGUAGAUAUUCGCAAGAACACCAGUGGCGAAGGCGGCUCACUGGCCCAUUACUGACGCUGAGGCACGAAAGCGUGGGGAGCAAACAGG